GACGAACGCUGGCGGCGUGCUCAACACAUGCAAGUCGAACGCUGAAGCUCAGCUUUUGUUGGGUGGAUGAGUGGCGAACGGGUGAGUAACACGUGAGUAACCUGCCCCCUUCUUUGGGAUAACGCCCGGAAACGGGUGCUAAUACUGGAUAUUCACUGGUCUUCGCAUGGGGGUUGGUGGAAAGGGUUUUUCUGGUGGGGGAUGGGCUCGCGGCCUAUCAGCUUGUUGGUGGGGUGAUGGCCUACCAAGGCUUUGACGGGUAGCCGGCCUGAGAGGGUGACCGGUCACAUUGGGACUGAGAUACGGCCCAGACUCCUACGGGAGGCAGCAGUGGGGAAUAUUGCACAAUGGGCGCAAGCCUGAUGCAGCGACGCCGCGUGAGGGAUGGAGGCCUUCGGGUUGUGAACCUCUUUCGCUCAUGGUCAAGCCGCAACAAUGGUUGUGGUGAGGGUAGUGGGUAAAGAAGCGCCGGCUAACUACGUG
rnacentral:rRNA from 1 species